rnacentral:rRNA from 1 species
CGCCCUUCAGAGGGGGACAACAGUUGGAAACGACUGCUAAUACCGCAUACGAUCUAACCUCGGCAUCGAGGAAAGAUGAAAGGUGGCCCCUAUGUAUAAGCUAUCACUGAAGGAGGGGAUUGCGUCUGAUUAGCUAGUUGGAGGGGUAACGGCCCACCAAGGCGAUGAUCAGUAGCCGGUCUGAGAGGAUGAACGGCCACAUUGGGACUGAGACACGGCCCAG